UACAGAGGUCUCGAGCGUUGUUCGGAUUCAUUGGGCGUAAAGGGUGCGUAGGCGGCGCGGUAAGUCGGGUGUGAAAUCUCGGGGCUUAACUCCGAAACUGCAUUCGAUACUGCCGUGCUUGAGGACUGGAGAGGAGACUGGAAUUUACGGUGUAGCGGUGAAAUGCGUAGAUAUCGUUAAGGAAGACCAGUGGCGAAGGCGGGUCUCUGGACAGUUCCUGACGCUGAGGCACGAAGGCCCAGGGGGAGCAAACGGGG
rnacentral:rRNA from 1 species